rnacentral:rRNA from 1 species
UACGUAGGGUGCGAGCGUUAAUCGGAAUUACUGGGCGUAAAGCGCGCGUAGGCGGCUUUGUAAGUUAGAGGUGAAAGCCCGGAGCUUAACUCCGGAACUGCCUUUAAGACUGCAUCGCUAGAAUUGUGGAGAGGUAAGUGGAAUUCCGAGUGUAGAGGUGAAAUUCGUAGAUAUUCGGAAGAACACCAGUGGCGAAGGCGACUUACUGGACACAUAUUGACGCUGAGGUGCGAAAGCGUGGGGAGCAAACAGG